rnacentral:tRNA from 1 species
UCCCUGUUGGCUCAGCUGGUAAAGUAUCUGCCUGCAAUACAGGAGACCUGGGUUCAAUCCCUGGGUUGGGAA